rnacentral:rRNA from 1 species
AAUGAACGCUGGCGGCAGGCCUAACACAUGCAAGUCGAACGGAUCCUUCGGGAUUAGUGGCGGACGGGUGAGUAACGCGUGGGAACAUACCCUUUGGUACGGAAUAGCCUCGGGAAACUGGGAGUAAAACGUUAGUGGGCGGGAGACGAAAGAUUAUCGCCAAAGGAUUGGCCCGCGGUGGAUUAGGUAGUUGGUGGGGUAAUGGCCUACCAAGCCGACGAUCCAUAGCUGGUUUGAGAGGAUGAUCAGCCACACUGGGACUGAGACACGGCCCAGACUCCUACGGGAGGCAGCAGUGGGGAAUCUUAGACAAUGGGGGAAACCCUGAUCUAGCCAUGCCGCGUGAUCGAUGAAGGCCUUAGGGUUGUAAAGAUCUUUCAGGUGGGAAGAUAAUGACUGUACCACCAGAGGAAGCCCCGGCUAACUCCGUGCCAGCCGCCGCGGUAA